AUGGCGGAAAACAUAAAGGAGAGGGUCAAGUUACAAGCCGACAUCGGGCCGGGGAAGAGAGAAGGCAUGGCGUCGCUGGUGGAGAUGAUGGUGACGAAGGCAACAUCGAUGAAGAUGGCGGUGAUGGAGGCGACACGGUGGAGAUGGCACUGGCCUAAAGGCCGGUGCGCGUGGUGGCGGAGGCUCCCCUUCUUACUUCUUGUAUUCGCCCUUCUUAUUCCAUCGAGGUCGUUUUGGAGCAGCAAUGGAGGUGUUGUGAUCUUAUCUUGGAUGAAUGAGGGCCUGAUGCCAGCAGCUAGGGUUGAAGGUGUAUAUAAGGGGCUUCUUCGGUUAUCCUUCGUAGAUGUGACUUCCUUCUCCUUAUUAUGCCCUCAUGCGACUUCCUUCUUCUUCUUCUUCUAG
rnacentral:rRNA from 1 species